rnacentral:misc_RNA from 1 species
GGUGUCCCUGAAUCUACAGAGAUGACCCUGAGCCAUACUACUGACCUUUGCCAUUGGCCGAGCUUGCGCCGCAUUUCGGUUCGACCGUUUGGUCUUAUGGUCUGCAAUAUGUCGUGUUCAAAAGCAUCCGAGGCACCUCACAGAUGCUCUUGCCGGAAAAAUCGAUUAAAAAGCGGAGUUUGUUUUACCGGAUCAUUACCGCAAAAGCUCAGUUCAAACACAUAGCAUAUUACGACACAACCUAGUCACACGCAGUAGAGACUACUGUUCUACGAGUUUAUAUCUGUAUUCCAACCAGCCCCAGUGAUCCGCCUCACCAACUCUGAAUUCAGGAGUAACACCUCUACCAACACGUCAAGCAACAGUCGCGAGAAAGAAAGUGCGAGCUCUACCGCCGCGCCUCCCCGUAUUGUAACCGUGGGCCCGCCCAGUCAGCCGUUGGACUACGAGUUUGUCAUCUCUCACUACAACGAGAAACUUGAUUGGGUGAAACCGCUUGCCAGUCACAGUCACGUGUAUCACAAGGGGAAGGACAAAGGACCGCCCUUCGAUGUCUACAAGUGGGAGAAGCUACCCAAUGUGGGACGUGAAAGCCACACCUAUCUCCACCACAUCAUACACAACUAUGACAAUCUUGCGGAUUUGACCGUUUUCCUGCAGGGCACAGGACCUUUCAAAGAUCCACACUGGUGUUUCCCAACGCCGAUGGACUUCGUCCAACACGCCAAGAAAAAGGAGUACUGUAAAAUCACGCAGACGUACGGCGGAUGGACGCGACUUCGCCACGUCAGCAAAUGGUUAAAGAUGCUGCAGCGAGGGGAGAUGCGGAGGGCGAACCUUACCACGGGCGAGUUUUAUCAGGCCGUGUUUGGUACCCCACACCCCGACACCGUGCCCGUAUGCCUAACGGCCUGCUUCUCAGCUUCGAGGGAGAAUCUGAGACGGUUCCCUGUGAGUUUGUAUGAGAGAGCCAUCUCAUUCGUGAAUGAUCAUUCAAACCCUGAGGAAGGUCAUUAUCUUGAGCGACUUUGGGCCACCAUCGCCAAUGCCAAAAGGAAUCCAUGACUGGUCAGCUUAUUUUAUUUCCUCGUCUUCACUGAUCCGUAGAGACAUGUGCAACGCAUAGUACUUAUUAAACAAUCCCUUUAUAGAGGGUUUGCAUGGCAGCCAUCUUGCGGGGUAGUUCUUUUGAUCCACAGGGAAACCUCAUUGGCAGCCAUGAAAAUGUGCGUUCUCCUUCACUCAAGUGACGGGGCACCUCAGGUAACCAAAGAUAAUUCGUUUAUUGCUACAGAUUGUGCAUGACCGCCCAAACGCGUGACGACACCCCUUGUGAGCUCGAGUGAAGAAAUCGAACACGCUGGACCAAGCUCAACUCAAUCAAAAAUUGCAGAUGUUAUACGCAACACGAACCUCUAAAGUUUGUGAAUAAGCAUCUCCUCGAAAGGACCCUCCUGAAAAUCUACGCAAUCAAUGUGAACAGGUUUGGUUUUAUAUAUACUCCAAAAAAUUAGGAAAUUCGGUAUGGAAAUAACAGUUUAUAAUAAUACCGUAAAAUACAAAAUAAUAUGAAAUGUGCAUUUUGUUUAACCACAAUGACGAAUAACUCCAUUUCAAACUUCCCCGCGCUUGUGUGCGACUUCAAGCCCCUUGUUCGUCGACUAAUAUACCAAGAAGUCCUGUAUGGCAAGCCUAACACGUUCUCCGCCAUGGACAUUUGCUGCGUUCUGUUUGUAGGAGCGUUCCUAGCAGACACGGCACAUGUCGCCUGCCAUGCGUUUGCGACAUCAACUUUGGUAUAAACAUCAACGAACCGAUGAGUACACUUUAUAUUCCGAUCGGGAGUUUUUGCGGCCAUUUAGGUACAUUCAACUCAAGGAACAGGUUGGCACGAUGUUGCAGCCAAGUGUUGUUUACUUUCUUAAUUAUCGUAAACAGACGGUUCUCAGAAAGCACCGUCUCUAGGUCUUUUCGGUCUCACAAAGUGACAAAAACUUCCCCAGUACCAGGGCAAAAUAGAGACCAACCACAGCUGGUCGAGUCAAGAUGUGUGUGUUGCGCAUGGGUGCGAACGAUAUCGAACACGAGCACCUGGGCUCACGUUUAAUGUACAAUGUAUCGAUUUUUUCGUGCGCGUUUAAUCUCACCAAGUGACACAACUGUGCAAUGCAGUAGGGGAAAACGUUAGCAAAACCUCCAGGUAUAUAUUACAGACUAACGAAGUGUAAACAAAAAACUUUUUUAAUGAAUUACUGUUUAAUUAAAACAGGAAAUCUACAAAUUAAUCUGGAUUAGCGUUUUCAAACUUUUCCCUGCAUGACUGUGCCCAAACUCCCCAAUUCGUAAAAUAAAAGUGGUGGAAAAUGUCGGAUGAAAUAGGUCAUAUUUUGAAAAAGCCUUUUUCUUGGAUGGCUGUGUUGCACGAUGGGGGGGGGGUCACUUUGUGAGAUCAUUGACGAUAAGUGGCCAUAAAUGGGGCGUGUUAUACAUGGCGAAUACGGGCGAUUCACAACAGUGCACCUCCUGGAUUUUGCAACGCGUUGGCCAAUCCCAACGCGCAACAUUUGUCGCCUUGAUUCGUCAGAUUUCGUGCAUUGUGAUUGGCCAACGCGUUACAGUCUCUAGGAGGCGCACUAUUGUGAAACGCCCGUAUUCGUGGUAGUUUGGAAGGCUACUUUUAGCUAACAGAUUAUUUUUAUCAUACCAAAAUAACCGUGUAUGCUUGUUGCGUGAGAACAAACCGUUGGCAGGUACAAUUACAUGUGUCUGAAAAAUAAACUCGAUCAAGCUGGAGUUAAAUCCAUCUGUUCGUGGUCAUGUUUCAGGCAAGUUUUGAGAAAAAAGGCACAUGCUUCUCCAAUAUUUUAUGCAUAGAUAGUGGCAUUUACUCUACUGUAGAUCAACUGGCGUCCCAUCCAUCAAGAGUCAAAAGUAGUACCAUUUCAGCUGAAUCUGUUCCCCAAUCAAGGUGGGCUUUCACUAAUUAAUGAAAAAUCCAUUGUAGCAUAUCAUACGCUGUAUUUGGAAACUUAUUAAUGAAAUAUUCCCGUGUUCUUUUUACAUGGUUUUGGGAAUAAACAAGUAUUUAUUUUGCAAAUGA